UACGUAGGGUGCGAGCGUUGUCCGGAAUUAUUGGGCGUAAAGAGCUCGUAGGCGGUCUGUCGCGUCGAUCGUGAAAACUUGGGGCUUAACCCUGAGCUUGCGGUCGAUACGGGCAUGACUGGAGUUCGGCAGGGGAGACUGGAAUCCUGGUGUAGCGGUGAAAUGCGCAGAUAUCAGGAGGAACACCGGUGGCGAAGGCGGGUCUCUGGGCCGAUACUGACGCUGAUGCGCGAAAGCUAGGGGAGCAAACGGG
rnacentral:rRNA from 1 species